AAUACCCUCGCGGCCCAGACUCCCUCGGGGCCGCUCCUUCGCGCGUCAUUAGUAACUCCGCCAUCUUGGCUAGAAACGACUCUCGCGGGAACUACAAAUACCGACGUACAAAGCAGGUACCGCUCUGGUCCGGAGUUUUGGAGCCAUCGGUAGUCAGGGUACCUAUUUCUGGUGGUGUGGGUCUCUGAACCCUUGACCUUGGUGUUAUGACACUGCGCUCUAAUCAGCUGAGCUAUUCAGCCAGCCUGACUAACCAUCUUGAAGGCAUGUUUUCAAG